rnacentral:rRNA from 1 species
CCGACCGUGGAGGUAUCGGAAGCGAGAAUGCUGACAUGAGUAACGUAAAAUAAUGUGAGAAACAUUUUCACCGUAAGCCAAAGGUUUUCUACGCUAUGUUAAUCAACGUAGAGUUAGGCGGACUCUAAGAUAAAAUAAUAGUGAAAACUUUAUAAUUGUUAAUGAGUAUGUUUUGUAUAAUUAAAACCAAUAAUAAAUAUUCAAAGUGACUAAGAAUUUAAUUAAUAUUUAAAUUAAUGAAUUUUUUUAAUAUUAAAAAAUUUUUACCAGAAAAAACUUUAUAUUUUAAAAACCGUACUAAAACCGACACAGGUUGGCUAGUAGAGUAUACUAAGGUGUUUGAGAUAAUAAUAUUGAAGGAACUUGGCAAAUUAACUCCGUAACUUCGGGAUAAGGUGGACCUUUUGAGGUGUAACAUAAAAGAAGAGAGCGACUGUUUAAUAAAAACACAGGAUUCUGCUAAGUUGUAAAAUGAUGUAUAGGAUCUGAAGCCUGCCCAGUGCUGCGUGAUUAAAAAGGAAAAAUUUCAUUAUAAAUAAAGAUAAAAUUAAAAUUUUAUCUUUAUUUUAAAUUUGAUGUUUUAAAUUAGAGUCCCAGUAAACGGCAGCUGUAACUAUAACGGUUCUAAGGUAGCGAAAUUCAUUGUCGAGUAAGUUUUGACCAGCAUGAAUGGUAUAACGACUCUCUUACUGUCUCCAAUAUUAACUCAGUGAAAUUGAAAUGUCCGUGAAGAUGCGGAUUUUUAUCGGCGGGACGGAAAGACCCCAUGCACCUUUACUAUAGUUUUGCAUUAUUUUAAAUAAAUAAAUAUGUAGCAUAGAUGAGAGUUAAUGAUACCUUAACGCCAGUUAAUUGUAGAAACGUCAGUGAAAUAUCAUCUUUUUAUUUUUUUGAAAUUAAUUUAUUCAUAAUAUUAUAUGUAAUGAUAACAGUGCAAGAUUGGUAGUUUAACUGGGAAGGUUGCCUCCUAAAAUGUAACGGAGGCGCGCAAAGGUAAGUUUACUUUUAAUUCUGAUUAAAAUGAAAGUGUAAUGGCAAUAAACUUACUUGAUUGAUAGACUUACAAGUCGAACAAGUAUUUAUUUUUUUAAUAGUUAUUAUAAAAAAUAACUUAUUAUAAUAAAAUUAGUAGGCCAUAAUGAUCCAGCAAAUCUUUGUGGAUAGAUUGCUGCUCAACGGAUAAAAGGUACGCUGGGGAUAACAGGCUAAUAAUUCUUGAGAGUCCUUAUCGACGGGAUUGUUUGGCACCUCGAUGUCGAAUCAUCACAUCCUGGAGCUGUAGAAGGUUCCAAGGGUUAGGCUGUUCGCCUAUUAAAGUGAUACGUGAUUUGGGUUUAGAACGUCGUGAGACAGUUUGGCCCCUAUCUACCGAUAAUGUUAUAAAAUUGAAAAAGUUCUGCCCUAGUACGAGAGGACCGGGACGUAUAUACCACUUGUUUUCCAGUUGUUGUGUCAACAGCAUCGCUGGGUAGCUACGUAUAAUAGUGUAACUAUUGAAAUCAUCUUAAAUAGGAAAACUCUUUUAAAAAAAAUUUUAUUAGAAAGACUGUAAUAGAAGAUUACAAAUUUAUUAUUUGUUAAAAUAAAAUUUAUUUUAACAAAUAAUAACUUAAAUUUGAUUAGGUUAGGUGU